AGGGGGGUGCAGCUUCCCUAUAUUGGCACAUGAAAAAAAUUUGCAUUGAAAGUGCUGCCAUCUAUUUUUGUAGUUUUGAAACGGAACUUACAUAAAGUAUGCGUGAAACGAUUAGUCAUAGACAUAGAUAACACCUAAAAACCUGAGAGUCAUAGAGUAAAGUAAUAUGGCGAUUCGUUAUUUUUCAAAUCGUCCAAAUAAAAUAUUUCUUUUCGUUCGUGGGUGCUUCGUGGUUUCAUUGUGUUCUUUGCUAUUCUCUGACUAAAUUUAACGGAUUGUGCUUGUUUUAUUGACUUGAUAUCUCCUAUAAACGAUUGACUAACACUGUGUAUACUGGAACUUGUUGCUAUUGCUUAACGAUUGACCAACGCUGUGCACACUGGAACCUGGAACUUUUGCGAUUUGGAUUUCGGAUUUCUCAAUUAUUAUACUUUCAAAAUGCGACAAAAAUACAAGCUUUAAAUUAUUACUAUAAACAUAAGAGGAAAUAAACAUAUCAAAUAAUAAA